ACAAACGACUCUCGGCAACGGAUAUCCCGGCUCUCGCAUCGAUGAAGAACGUAGCGAAAUGCGAUACUUGGUGUGAAUUGCAGAAUCCCGUGAACCAUCGAGUCUUUGAACGCAAGUUGCGCCCGAGGCCAUCAGGCUAAGGGCACGUCUGCCUGGGUGUCACGC
rnacentral:rRNA from 4 species